rnacentral:misc_RNA from 1 species
GAUGAAGAACGGUAGCGAAAUGCGAUAAGUAGUGUGAAUUGCAGAAUUCAGUGAAUCAUCGAAUCUUUGAACGCACAUUGCGCCCCUUGGUAUUCCAUGGGGCAUGCCUGUUCGAGCGUCAUUUGUACCUUCAAGCUUUGCUUGGUGUUGGGUGUUUGUCCUCUCCUUAAGGAGCGGGACUCGCCUCAAAGUUAUUGGCAGCUAGUAUUUUGGUGUUGAAGCGCAGCACAUGUCGCGAAUCAAGCCCGAGUAUUAGCUUCCAUUAAGCCAUAUUUAUCACUUUUGACCUCGGAUCAGGUAGGGAUACCCGCUGAACUUAAGCAUAUCAAUAAGCGGGAGGA